rnacentral:rRNA from 1 species
AUAAGAAAAGCUUGCUUUUCUUGAUGACGAGUGGCGGACGGGUGAGUAAGAUUUGGGAAACUACCUGAUAGAGGGGACAACAGUUGGAAACGACUGCUAAUACCGCAUACAGCCUCAGGGUGAAAGAAGCGAUUCGCUAUCAGAUGUGCCCAAACGGGAUUAGCUAGUAGGUGAGGUAAAGGCUCACCUAGGCGACGAUCUCUAGCUGGUCUGAGAGGAUGAUCAGCCACAUUGGGACUGAGACACGGCCCAGACUCC